CGCCUGCGGAAUCUCCGACCCGUGACUCCUACGGGCGCCCGCCUAGGGAGCACGGGCGAUAGGGUAUGGCUGGAAACGGCCAUGCCUCCCGUGUUUGGAAAGGAGGUUCGACGUGAGAGGG
rnacentral:ncRNA from 2 species